GUCCACGCCCUAAACGAUGGAUGCUAGACGUAGGAGGUAUCGACCCCUCCUGUGUCGCAGCUAACGCACUAAGCAUCCCGCCUGGGGACUACGGCCGCAAGGUUGAAACUCAAAUGAAUUGACGGGGACCCCGCACAAGCGGUGGAGCAUGUGGAUUAAUUCGAUACUAACCGAAGAACCUUACCCAGGUUUGACAUCGCGAGUAAGCCAUAGAGAUAUGGCCCUCUCCCACAAGGAGACUCAAAGACAGAUGUUGCAUGGCUGUCGU
rnacentral:rRNA from 1 species